rnacentral:rRNA from 1 species
GAUGAACGCUGGCGGCGUGCCUAAUACAUGCAAGUCGAGCGAACAGACGAGGAGCUUGCUCCUCUGACGUUAGCGGCGGACGGGUGAGUAACACGUGGAUAACCUACCUAUAAGACUGGGAUAACUUCGGGAAACCGGAGCUAAUACCGGAUAAUAUAUUGAACCGCAUGGUUCAAUAGUGAAAGACGGUUUUGCUGUCACUUAUAGAUGGAUCCGCGCCGCAUUAGCUAGUUGGUAAGGUAACGGCUUACCAAGGCAACGAUGCGUAGCCGACCUGAGAGGGUGAUCGGCCACCCUGGAACUGAGACACGGUCCAGACUCCUACGGGAGGCAGCAGUAGGGAAUCUUCCGCAAAGGGCGAAAGCUUGACGGAGCAACGCCGCGUGAGUGAUGAAGGUCUUCGGAUCGUAAAACUCUGUUAUUAGGGAAGAACAAAUGUGUAAGUAACUAUGCACGUCUUGACGGUACCUAAUCAGAAAGCCACGGCUAACUACGUG